AUAGGUGAACCUGCGGAAGGAUCAUUGUCGUGACCCUGACCAAAACAGACCGUGCACGCGUCAUCCUGCCUGCCGGGCAGCGGCACCAUUUGUCGCCCGGCCAAACUCCUCGAAAACUUCCUCUCUUCGGAGCGGCGGAUCGGGGUAAAAGAACCCACGGCGUCGAAGGCGUCAAGGAACACUGUGCCUAACCCGGGGACGCGGCUGGCUUGCUGGCCACACCUUGGGUUGAAAUGCUAUAUAAUCCACACGACUAUCGGCAAUGGAUAUCUCGGCUCUC
rnacentral:misc_RNA from 1 species